rnacentral:sRNA from 2 species
CAAACUCGCGCCCGUCCUGGGGGAGUAGUCUCCGGCGAGCGCCCUGCUCGCCUGGCAUGCGUCAACAUACUUGGUCCACAGACCAUGGCGCAUGCGACCCGCGCGGCCUGCUUACGCAGCCUCGCCUGGUUUGACAAGACCCAUGACACGCACACCUGACCCGGGGCGGGCAGGCGGUGCGUGUCAUGGUGAUUUCGUCGACCCG